rnacentral:tRNA from 1 species
ACCCGGGUGGUGAAAUGGUAGACACGCUAGUUUCAGGUACUAGUGACCGCAAGGUUGUGUGAGUUCGAGUCUCAUCCCGGGUA